GACCGUGGCUCACUGGCAAAGCAUCUGCUUUGCAUGCAGAGGCUCCCAGGUUCAGUUCCCGGCAUCUCCA
rnacentral:tRNA from 1 species